CUUUGAAGUCGGAAUCGCUAGUAAUCGCAGAUCAGCAUGUUGCGGUGAAUACGUUCCCGGGUCUUGUACACACCGCCCGUCAAACCAUGAGAGUCACCAACACCCGAAGUCCGCCUUGGCGGCCUAAGGUGGGGAGAUGAUUGGGGUUAAGUCGUAACAAGGUACC
rnacentral:rRNA from 1 species